rnacentral:rRNA from 1 species
UACGUAGGUGGCGAGCGUUAUCCGGAAUGAUUGGGCGUAAAGAGCGCGCAGGUGGUUAAUUAAGUCUGAUGUGAAAGCCCACGGCUUAACCGUGGAGGGUCAUUGGAAACUGGUUGACUUGAGUGCAGAAGAGGGAAGUGGAAUUCCAUGUGUAGCGGUGAAAUGCGUAGAGAUAUGGAGGAACACCAGUGGCGAAGGCGGCUUCCUGGUCUGCAACUGACACUGAGGCGCGAAAGCGUGGGGAGCAAACAGG